rnacentral:rRNA from 1 species
GACGAACGCUGGCGGCGUGCCUAAUACAUGCAAGUCGAACGCAGUGGGGACGGGUGAGUAACAUGUGGGUAACCUCCCAUCAGAGGGGAUAACACUUGGAAACAGGUGCUAAACCGAUACUGAUGGAUGGACCCGCGGUGCAUUAGCUAGUUGGGGAGGUAGCGGCUCACCAAGGCCACGAUGCAUAGCCGGCCUGAGAGGAGGAUCGGCCACACUGGGACUGAGACACGGCCCAGACUCCUACGGGAGGCAGCAGUGGGGAAUCUUGGACAAUGGGCGAAAGUCUGACGGAGCAACGCCGCGUGGGUGAAGAAGGUUUUAGGGUCGUAAAACUCUGUUGUUAGGGAAGCGGUAUCUAACCAGAAAGCAACGGCUAACUACGUGCCAGCAGCCGCGGUAAUUC